CCACUUCCCCACUCUGCUGGGGGAAGCCCUCCUGACACUGCUCAGGUGGGGUGGGCAACUGCAGCCAGGAAGGUUCGACAUGGAUUGAAACGCAACCCUGGCCUGGCAGGAGUUCACACGCAGCCCUGCUUCUGCCCUUCAGUGACAGACAGAAACCGGGCUGCCUGGGGGGCACAGAGGGACAGCCUGGUCGGUGUUGGCAAGAGCUUUCUCCCAAGGACCUGCCAGCUCCCUGCCGCUCGGGGAUCCAGCAAACCAAGCAGCUGCUGAGCCAAGAAAGUGCGCCUGCGGAAGGGACAUCUCCCUAGGCUAUGAACACUCCGAAACCCCUGGGGCAGAAGUCCUCUCUGUAUGUGAAAGGAGGACCCUGCUGCUUUCCUUGUGCUCCUGCUGAGUCAGUCUCUGAGUCUGCACAAGGAUCGGUUGGGUCAGAUUUUGGAAACAAACUGUGGCUCACCGAAAAGUCAGGUCAACAAGGAGCAAGUGCAACCACUUGUUCAGA